rnacentral:misc_RNA from 1 species
GAUGAAGAACGUAGCGAAAUGCGAUAAGUAGUGUGAAUUGCAGAAUUCAGUGAAUCAUCGAAUCUUUGAACGCACAUUGCGCCCUUUGGUAUUCCUUAGGGCAUGCCUGUUCGAGCGUCAUUUACAAAUUCAAGCUCAGCUUGGUGAUGGGUGUCUGUCCCGCCUUUGCGCGUGGACUCGCCUCAAAUGCAGUUAGCAGCUUAUCCCUCGGCUCUAAACGCAGCAGAUUUGCGUCGAGCGUCGUGUGGACGGGCUCUCCAGUAAGCAAACCCCCCAAAAUUGACCUCGGAUCAGGUAGGGAUACCCGCUGAACUUAAGCAUAUCAAUAAGCGGAGGA